AAAAGCCAUCAGCCGCCACGAGCGAUGUCGCCUCCCGAUGUUGCCCGCAACAAUCGAUGGCAAUCGGAACGUACUGAGCUUAGCCCCAUGCGCACGGCACCUUGCGGCGCUACUUGCACGAGGCCUCGCCGUUCCGUUGCCAAAAGUCAUUAGCCGCCACGAGCGAUGCCAGAUACAACUCACAACAACCGAUGGCAAUCGGAACGUACUGAGUUUAGCCCCAUGCGCACGGCACCUUGCGGCGCUACUUGCACGAGGCUUCGCCGUUCCGUUGCCAAAAGCCAUCAGCCGCCACGAGCGAUGUCACCUCCCGAUGUUGCUCACAACAACUGAUGGCAAUCGGAACGUACUAAGUUU
rnacentral:lncRNA from 1 species